rnacentral:rRNA from 1 species
UACGGAGGGGGCAAGCGUUGUUCGGAAUUACUGGGCGUAAAGGGCGCGCAGGCGGCUGCUCAAGUCAGGCGUGAAAGGCCUGGGCUCAACCCGGGAAUUGCGCUUGAGACUGGGCUGGCUUGAGUGCGGGAGGGGAUGGUGGAAUUCCCAGUGUAGAGGUGAAAUUCGUAGAUAUUGGGAAGAACACCGGUGGCGAAGGCGGCCAUCUGGACCGCAACUGACGCUGAGGCGCGAAAGCGUGGGGAGCAAACAGG